UGAGUAACACGUGGAUAACCUACCUAUAAGACUGGGAUAACUUCGGGAAACCGGAGCUAAUACCGGAUAACAUAUUGAACCGCAUGGUUCAAUAGUGAAAGGCGGCUUUGCUGUCACUUAUAGAUGGAUCCGCGCCGUAUUAGCUAGUUGGUAAGGUAACGGCUUACCAAGGCAACGAUACGUAGCCGACCUGAGAGGGUGAUCGGCCACACUGGAACUGAGACACGGUCCAGACUCCUACGGGAGGCAGCAGUAGGGAAUCUUCCGCAAUGGGCGAAAGCCUGACGGAGCAACGCCGCGUGAGUGAUGAAGGUCUUCGGAUCGUAAAACUCUGUUAUCAGGGAAGAACAAAUGUGUAAGUAACUGUGCACAUCUUGACGGUACCUGAUCAGAAAGCCACGGCUAACUACGUGCCAGCAGCCGCGGUAAUACGUAGGUGGCAAGCGUUAUCCGGAAUUAUUGGGCGUAAAGCGCGCGUAGGCGGUUUUUUAAGUCUGAUGUGAAAGCCCACGGCUCAACCGUGGAGGGUCAUUGGAAACUGGAAAACUUGAGUGCAGAAGAGGAAAGUGGGAAUUCCAUGUGUAGCGGUGAAAUGC
rnacentral:rRNA from 1 species